GUCCGAUGGGGGUGAAAGAAACAACAGGUUGCAAUGUUCAGCUCUUCUACAAUCUGAGGAUGUGCUGCAGACAGUUAACGGUCACUAACCCUCAUUAUUCCAUUCCUUCAUUCAGGAAGUAUUCGCCGGGGUGUUUCUUUUGCGUCAGGGCACAGUAUAUGCAUCACAGGUACCACGAUGCUUUUCCUAUCGUGAGGAGUUAAUGACGGGAACACAGCGUUUACAGAUGCUGAAAACUGAGGUCCCAACAUCAGAGAAAACAUGAGAAGCCACACAACGAGGGAAGAGCUGCCAGUGUGUGUGUUUGUGAGUCCCUGGAUUGUAGUCCAGGCUAUUAGACUUUUAACCCUGAACUUAGUAUACAUUUCAGUAAUUAAAGAGCAAGUCACGUC